GAUUGGUGCCAAUCGCUAACAACC
rnacentral:siRNA from 1 species